rnacentral:rRNA from 1 species
GGGUUGUGAGGUUAAGCGACUAAGCGUACACGGUGGAUGCCCUGGCAGUCAGAGGCGAUGAAGGACGUGCUAAUCUGCGAAAAGCGUCGGUAAGGUGAUAUGAACCGUUAUAACCGGCGAUGUCCGAAUGGGGAAACCCAGUGCAAUUCGUUGCACUAUCGUUAACUGAAUACAUAGGUUAACGAGGCGAACCGGGGGAACUGAAACAUCUAAGUACCCCGAGGAAAAGAAAUCAACCGAGAUUCCCCCAGUAGCGGCGAGCGAACGGGGAGCAGCCCAGAGUCUGAAUCAGCUUGUGUGUUAGUGGAACGGUCUGGAAAGUCCGACGGUACAGGGUGAUAGUCCCGUACACCAAAAUGCACAGGUUGUGAACUCGAAGAGUAGGGCGGGACACGUGGUAUCCUGUCUGAAUAUGGGGGGACCAUCCUCCAAGGCUAAAUACUCCUGACUGACCGAUAGUGAACCAGUACCGUGAGGGAAAGGCGAAAAGAACCCCGGCGAGGGGAGUGAAAAAGAACCUGAAACCGUGUACGUACAAGCAGUGGGAGCACCUUCGGGUGUGACUGCGUACCUUUUGUAUAAUGGGUCAGCGACUUAUAUUCUGUAGCAAGGUUAACCGUAUAGGGGAGCCGCAGGGAAACCGAGUCUUAACUGGGCGUUAAGUUGCAGGGUAUAGACCCGAAACCCGGUGAUCUAGCCAUGGGCAGGUUGAAGGUUGGGUAACACUAACUGGAGGACCGAACCGACUAAUGUUGAAAAAUUAGCGGAUGACUUGUGGCUGGGGGUGAAAGGCCAAUCAAACCGGGAGAUAGCUGGUUCUCCCCCCGAAAGCUAUUUAGGUAGCGCCUCGUGAACUCAUCUUCGGGGUAGAGCACUGUUUCGGCUAGGGGUCAUCCCGACUUACCAACCCGAUGCAAACUACGAAUACCGAAGAAUGUUAUCACGGGAGACACACGGCGGGUGCUAACGUCCGUCGUGAAGAGGGAAACAACCCAGACCGCCAGCUAAGGUCCCAAAGUCAUGGUUAAGUGGGAAACGAUGUGGGAAGGCACAGACAGCCAGGAUGUUGGCUUAGAAGCAGCCAUCAUUUAAAGAAAGCGUAAUAGCUCACUGGUCGAGUCGGCCUGCGCGGAAGAUGUAACGGGGCUAAACCAUGCACCGAAGCUGCGGCAGCGACACUAUGUGUUGUUGGGUAGGGGAGCGUUCUGUAAGCCUGCGAAGGUGUGCUGUGAGGCAUGCUGGAGGUAUCAGAAGUGCGAAUGCUGACAUAAGUAACGAUAAAGCGGGUGAAAAGCCCGCUCGCCGGAAGACCAAGGGUUCCUGUCCAACGUUAAUCGGGGCAGGGUGAGUCGACCCCUAAGGCGAGGCCGAAAGGCGUAGUCGAUGGGAAACAGGUUAAUAUUCCUGUACUUGGUGUUACUGCGAAGGGGGACGGAGAAGGCUAUGUUAGCCGGGCGACGGUUGUCCCGGUUUAAGCAUGUAGGCUGGUUGUCCAGGCAAAUCCGGAUAAUCAAGGCUGAGGUGUGAUGACGAGGCACUACGGUGCUGAAGUAACAAAUGCCCUGCUUCCAGGAAAAGCCUCUAAGCAUCAGGUAACAUUAAAUCGUACCCCAAACCGACACAGGUGGUCAGGUAGAGAAUACCAAGGCGCUUGAGAGAACUCGGGUGAAGGAACUAGGCAAAAUGGUGCCGUAACUUCGGGAGAAGGCACGCUGGUGUGUAGGUGAAGUCCCUGCGGAUGGAGCUGAGACCAGUCGAAGAUACCAGCUGGCUGCAACUGUUUAUUAAAAACACAGCACUGUGCAAACACGAAAGUGGACGUAUACGGUGUGACGCCUGCCCGGUGCCGGAAGGUUAAUUGAUGGGGUUAUCCGUAAGGAGAAGCUCUUGAUCGAAGCCCCGGUAAACGGCGGCCGUAACUAUAACGGUCCUAAGGUAGCGAAAUUCCUUGUCGGGUAAGUUCCGACCUGCACGAAUGGCGUAAUGAUGGCCAGGCUGUCUCCACCCGAGACUCAGUGAAAUUGAACUCGCUGUGAAGAUGCAGUGUACCCGCGGCAAGACGGAAAGACCCCGUGAACCUUUACUAUAGCUUGACACUGAACAUUGAGCCUUGAUGUGUAGGAUAGGUGGGAGGCUUUGAAGCGUGGACGCCAGUCUGCGUGGAGCCAACCUUGAAAUACCACCCUUUAAUGUUUGAUGUUCUAACGUUGGCCCCUUACCGGGGUUGCGGACAGUGUCUGGUGGGUAGUUUGACUGGGGCGGUCUCCUCCCAAAGCGUAACGGAGGAGCACGAAGGUUAGCUAAUCCUGGUCGGACAUCAGGAGGUUAGUGCAAUGGCAUAAGCUAGCUUGACUGCGAGCGUGACGGCGCGAGCAGGUGCGAAAGCAGGUCAUAGUGAUCCGGUGGUUCUGAAUGGAAGGGCCAUCGCUCAACGGAUAAAAGGUACUCCGGGGAUAACAGGCUGAUACCGCCCAAGAGUUCAUAUCGACGGCGGUGUUUGGCACCUCGAUGUCGGCUCAUCACAUCCUGGGGCUGAAGUAGGUCCCAAGGGUAUGGCUGUUCGCCAUUUAAAGUGGUACGCGAGCUGGGUUUAGAACGUCGUGAGACAGUUCGGUCCCUAUCUGCCGUGGGCGCUGGAGAAUUGAGGGGGGCUGCUCCUAGUACGAGAGGACCGGAGUGGACGCAUCACUGGUGUUCGGGUUGUCAUGCCAAUGGCACUGCCCGGUAGCUAAAUGCGGAAGAGAUAAGUGCUGAAAGCAUCUAAGCACGAAACUUGCCCCGAGAUGAGUUCUCCCUGAGACUUUAAGUCUCCUGAAGGAACGUUAAAGACGAUGACGUUGAUAGGCCGGGUGUGUAAGCGCAGCGAUGCGUUGAGCUAACCGGUACUAAUGAACCGUGAGGCUUAACCUUACAACGCCGAAG